AAUGCACACUGCUCCAAUGUGGGUUGAUAGGCUUGGGGUAAUAAAGUUAAAUUAUAAAAGGAUCACUAUCAGGUGUUAAUGAUAAUGACUGGGAUAUAUUGCAUAUCAUACUCUCUGAGAUAUAGGGAUAUAACACCAGCAACAGCUCUCCAGUGAUGCAGUAGAUAGCAUCAUUGCUCUUUGCAUCUACACGCCACAGCCAGUUGUGGCAAUUGAACUCAUCAUAUUAGUGUGAUGAGCAUGGAUGUAUUUCAGUGUCUAUGUGGUUGUGAGUGUACGCCCAUGUUAAAUAACAAGUAAUGGCCAAAAUAUUAAGUAGAUGUUGAUCAAUAAUCUUCUCUAUCUUCCAGUAAAAGUCCCAUUAAAAUGACCCUGCUGUUCCAGAGAUUAGCUCAAACAAACAGACAGAUGAACAUUUUAAAGAAGUAUGACUGUAUGUCAGUAUUGUAUAUAGGCACUUGAGAAAACACAGUUAUUUUGAAAUCACAGACAUACACUUAAAUUUUAUUUAUAUGUAUUGGUGCUGUUCAUAAAUAUAGCAUCAGCUGAAACAAACUAGGCAUAGUUAAGUUACAUUUUAUACAGGGUGCUCGGGACUAUUUCUCAUAAAUUCAAGGUGUUGACAAGUCCACUUAUAGGAGUUACCUUAGCUACUAGUUUAUAUUGAGGAGAACUUUCCACCUAGAUGAGUUGUGACUGUAUUAGGGGUCUGGUGAUGAAGACGUAGGACGGUUAAGAGAACUCCUCAACGGUUCACAGUAGCUACCAUGUGUUGAUAAAUUUGUAUUGAUGAGAACUUUCCAACUAGAUGGGUUGUGACUGUAUUAGGGGUCUGGUAAUGAAGACGAAGGACGGUUAAGGGAACUCCUCGAUUGUUGUUCACAGUAGCUACCAUGUGUUGAUAAAUUUGUAUUGAUGAGAACUUUCCACCUAGAUGGGUUUUGACUGUAUUAGGGGUCUGGUAAUGAAGACGAAGGACGGUUAAGGGAACUUCUCGAUGGUUCACAGUAGUAAUUAGUUUGAUUCUAAGUCAGAGGCAAUCAAAUACAAUGUUUUAUCACGACUCAUAGCAACAUACCUUUGGCGCUAGAUCAAUAUCUAGGAUGAUUUCACUAAAAAUGGAAAAAUAAAAAUUUUUAAUUAAAGAAAUUCAACCAACUUCAAAAACAUAAAACAUACUGGCUAAACUAAAAAGCGAAAAAUAAUAUUAUACUAAGUUCAUAUCAUAUUAUGUUCUAACUGAUGAUCAGUUUGAAGGCUGUGCUAAACCGGUGUUGUUUUAAUUUAAGCUGUUACUGAAAGAACUACAUGAAAGAACACUGUCUGAAAAACCUAAAUAUUUAUGAUAUUCUUACAUGGCUUGAAUUAAUACAUCAUUGGGCUAGCACCACCUUCAAACUGAUCAUCAGUUAGAACAUAAUAUGAUAUAUAGAACUUAGUAUAAUGUUAUUUUUCGUUUUUUAGUUUAGUAAGUAUGUUUUUGAAGUCGGUUGACUUGUUUUUAUUAAAGUUUUUUAAUACACAUGUUCCUUAGACAUUUUAAAUUAAUUUUCCUUAUAGAACUUGGAGCUACCCUAGAGUUAUGGGAAAUACUCCCGAGCACCCUGUAGAUGCUACUUAAUCCUACUAAUCCUUCAUUCAUCAAUAUCGGUUGGUGGGCUUGGAGUUUAUAAAGAAUAUUAAGUAUAUAUAAUUUAUUUAUGAACAUUCCUCAUUCAGUUGAGCUUUUACUACCCAUAACACAAGCUAAGCUUACUUUGAGACUAGUUAGUGAUGUGUGUAAUGUGUUAAUAUAAAUAUUAACCAACUUUCUGCAGUUUGAGAAUACGCGGAUAAAAUAUAGCCUAUGAUACUCAGAAAUAACGUGGCUUUCUAGUGGUAAAAGAAUUUUCAAAAUUGGAUCCAGAGUUUACCUGCUAGAACACCACCAACUUUACCUCUUUAUAAUACAUACCAGCGGACGCCCGCGACUUCGUCCGCGUAAAAAUCGAUGUCAACUUUCAACCCCUAUUUCACAUUCUAUUUUGCAAGUUUUAUAACUUAUACCUUGUAACUAAAAAAAUUAAGGACUUUCCGUACAAACUUUCUACCCCUACUUCACCCAAUUCUGAUUUUGUUUUCACGACAAAAAGUAUCCUAUUAUCCUUCUACUUAUUAUGGUCUCAAAUCGUCUUAAGUAUCGUUUGAAUUCAUUCUGUAGUAUCAGCGUGAUGCCCGGUCAAAAAAAGGCAAACAGACAGACAAAAAAUAGAAAAUAUGAGCGUGGUGCGAUGACAAAGGAAAAUAGAGACUUCUAUGCUAAAAUUAUAAUCUUUGGAUCUACUGGACCGAUUUGAAAGAUUGUUUUAUCAAUAGAAAGCUACGUUAUUUGCGAGUGUCAUAGGCUAUGUUUGAUUCCCAUAUUCACACAGGAACGGGAACCACGUAAUGGAAAGCGCGGGGCGUCAUGUAGCGAACUUUCUGCGUCUUUGAGAAAUUUUGUAUUAUCUCCAAAACUAAUUAACAUACUAUAAAGGGCAAAUCUUAUCUCCAUAAUAUCCUUGUGAUUAUUAAAUAAUUUAUUUUAAUAAGGAUUAAAGUUUAGUUGUAUAAAUAAUGACGUAAUACUAAGUAUAUACAAUUAAUAAUUUUUAAAACACAAAAGGUACUAUAUCUGCUAAUAUAUAGAAGAUAGAUAUAUGGUGUCGCGGACUUUUUUGUAGAACUUUUAAAGAUACAUAAAGCCUCCAUACAUUAAUUUCAAUUUUACACAAUGGUUAAGGCAGCGCAUGCGAAUAAGUCUGCUUAAGAGGAUUUUCGGUCCGACCUGUAUGACAAAAACUGUGUUAACUCGGCGAAUAUAUAUCAUGCUAAUAUAAAAUAUAGCCUAUAGCACUCCCCGAUAAUGUAGCAUUCUACUGGUGAAAGAAUUUUUGAAAUCUGACCAGUAGUUCCGAAAAUUACCCCAUUUAAAAAAUGUGACAAACUUACAAACUUUACCUCUUUAUAAUAUUAGUAUAGAUUAACAACCCAUUUUCGGCUCAUUGUUGAGCACGAGUCACUUCUCAGGACGAGAGGGGUUAGGCCUUAGUCCUCCAUGCUGGCCCAAUGCGGAUUGGCAGACUUCACACACCUAGACAAUUAAGAAAAUUCUCAGUUAUGCAGGUUUCUUCACAAUGUUAUGCUUCACCAUUUAAGACAUUUAAUUUAAAAAUGGGUUGAAUACAUAUCAGUAUAGAUUUUUAUUGUGAGUUUCUUGAAAGAAGGAAAUGCUCAAUAUUUCAUAGACCAACCCAGGACUCAAACUCAGAAUUUCAUGAUAGUUACACUGAACCAAUAAAGCAGUUAGAGAGAGAGAGAGAGAUAAAUAAAAAGAGUUUAUUAUGUAUUAAAAUUAAAAUAUAUACCUAAUGCUUUCAGCAAUCCUGCUUCUUCACAUGAAUUUUACCCGCAUGACGACGGUUUUUAAUAUAAAAAAUAUUUACACAAUGUCUCAAAAAGCAAUCAAAGCUUUCAAAAAUAAACAAUGUUCGCAGAAGUUCAGUACCAACAAACUCACAAAAAAUGAGCCCAAAAUUUAGCAUUACUUGCAAGCCAGACUAAGAAAUUUCAAGAAGAUAAUUUAAAAGAAGACAAUAGAAUAAAAUAAUAUUAACACACAAUGCUUAGCAAAUAUAGCAUUAACAGAUGGAAACCAGGCAAUAGGUGUAGCAAAAUAGAAGAUGAAGGUCUAGCUGUGCCAGUCAGUGCUGAGCCACACAGUUGCUGCUGGCAUGUUUGCAAAAUAGCACAAGGUGUAGCAAAAUAGAAGAUGAAGGUCUAGCUGUGCCAGUCGGUGCUGAGCCACACAGUUGCUGCUGGCAUGUUUGCAAAAUAGCACAAGGUGUAGCAAAAUAGAAGAUGAAGGUCUAGCUGUGCCAGUCGGUGCUGAGCCACACAGUUGCUGCUGGCAUGUUUGCAAAAUAGCACAAGGUGUAGCAAAAUAGAAGAUGAAGGUCUAGCUGUGCCAGUCAGUGCUGAGCCACACAGUUGCUGCUGGCAUGUUUGCAAAAUAGCACAAGGUGCUGUAAAAUGAAGAUAUAUUGUUAAAUAUCAUGAGAUAGAAAUAAAAGAUGAAGAUCUAGCUGUACCCGUCCCGAGCCACACUACUGCAGCCACGUUGCUGCUGGCAUUUUUGCAAAAUAGCACAAGGUCACAACAAUUGAUGUAACAAAUAUAAUCAAUGGACCAGGCACCUGCACCGUGAUUCUUUGGAAUACUAAAAUUCGUCUCUUUAUGUCUGUACUUCUCAUAAUGAAAAAUGUCACGUUUUUAUGAAAGAAAUAAUGGAAUCAAAUAAUAAAUAAAACAAGCAUAUGCUGGAAGUCCUCAGAAACAGCUCCGACUUUGAUGAUUUUUUUUAAAGUCAUGUUUUUUAUGUUAUUUAAAAUCAGAAAUGUUUUGGUGGACGAAAUUAUUUAAAUUGUUAAAAAAUAUCUAUGCUAUUUAUACAUAUUUUUUUUUUAAAUACAACCGACUUCAAAAAUACAAACUUAUGCAGAAAACUAACAAACGAAAGAAAAUAUUAUAAUAUUUUCUAUCUAUUGAUCACUUUGAAGGCGGUGCCAAUGUUCCAAUUAAUGGGCCGACAAUUAGUAAUCUAUUGUUUACUAGCUAUAGGGCUCGAAUUGCUUUUUCAUAUCUUUAAAAGACUAUCUUCGGAAUGAACCCUUUAUAAUAAAAAGUAUUAUCAAAAUCGGACCACUCAAUAAAAAGUUAUACUUGGUUGUAUACUAAAAUUAAUGGUUAAACAAUCAAUCAUCCCCUGUUUUCGUAAUGUAAAACCAAGAAUAACUGUUAACAUGAGUAGUCCGAUUUUGAUAAUUCUUUUGAUUGAUCAUUCUUGAUUGUUUUAGUUUAAAACCAAGCAUGUCUUCGAAUUCCGAUUUGAAUAACUUUGUUUUAAAUAGAAAGGGUAUAUUCCGACAAUGGUCCCAAAUCAUUAUAAAUUUAAAAAAAACGAAGAUGACUGGUUAUUUUCCCAUUAAUUGUGUUGUAAAACUAUGCGUAACUUAUUACGAAGUGGUCCGAUUUCGUAAAUUAUUUAUAGAUUGUAAAGGUAUUUUGAUUGUAAAGCUCCCAUAUAAAUUUUAAAAAACAAUUCCAAUCCUAAAUGUGCGAUUGAUUGUUUUCUCAUUCAUUUUAAUGUAAAACCAAGCAUAACUUUUUAUUGGGUGGUUCUAUUUUGAUUAUUCUUUUUUUGAUAGAAAGGGUAUAUUCCUAAAAGUCUCAUAAAAUGUUGGAAAACAAUUUCAAACCUAAUAGUAGGAAAAUAGAAGAUGAUUAAUUGUUUUUCCAUUUAUUGUAAUGCGUAACUUUUUACUGAGUGGACCUAUUUUGAAAAUUCUUUACUUUUUGUAAAGGGUUUAUUUCGAAGUAGGUCCCAUAUAAAUUUCGGAAAACAAUUCGAAUCCUUAAGGUGGAAAAAAACUGUACGAUUGAUUGCCUACCCAUUAAUUGUACAAUUGGCACCGGCUUCAAAGUAAUCAGUAGAUAUAAAAUAUUAUAAUGUUUUCUUCAGCUUAUUAGUUUACUGCAUAACUUUGUGUUUUUGAAGUCGGUAGUGUUUGUUUUUUAAUUAUUUAUUAUAUAAAUAGCAUAACUAUUGUUAAAUAGUAUAAAUCGUUCCAUCCUCACUCCUAAAGGUUUCUGAUUUCAAAUAAUAUGAAGAAACAAACUGAACAAAAAAAAUCAUCAAAAUCAGAGCUGUUCCUGAGGAAGUAGAGGGUAAAUGCUCUAUUGAUUCGCCUAAAAGUAAUAUUAUGAUUUUUUAUCGCAUUAGGUUGUAAAGUUCGGCUAGUGAAAGUAGAGACUGAAAUUGCCCGCCAAAUUUAAAAAUCAUAUAAACAAAGUAAAAAAACAUGCGUUUUCAUAAUUUACUUAAAUUAGUUUUUAUUUGUGAAUACAUUAUUACCUAUACUAUAAGUGUUAAACUCAGUUAUUCCAAUAUUUGCACUAUAAUUUUGAGAAUUUACUCCGAUUUUUUAAAAUUUGGCGGGUGAUUUCAGUUUCUACUUUUAUUAGCCAAAUUCUAAUAAUUAAAAAUUUUAUUGUUUAUGAAAUUUAUACUAAUUAGAAAGAGGAAGAAUUUGAUUAUUUGUUUGUUUGCAUUGAAUAGGCUCUGAAACUACUUUGCUGAUUUAAAAAUUUCUUACAGCAUUAUAAUCAUGGAUUAGGCCAUAAUUGUUAUCUCUGUAUUCCCACGGGAACGAGAACUACGCUGGUGAAACUGCGUGACGUUUGCAUAGUUUAUCAUAUGUACAAAUAUCCCGACAAUCUAUAUUUUUAUGUAUGAAUUGGUUAAGUUAUAAUUGACUUGAUUUUCCCAAAUAUAUCAGUGAAGUCACCCAAUUGAUGCAUAGAUAUAUUUUUAUUUUGGUUUUCAUUUUACUUACUUACUAAAAUUUAGUUUUAGAAGCAAAAUGAAUAUAUGUAGAUUACAUUUUAGGUGCUGAUGUUUACUUAGUUAUUGAUUAAGUGCAUAAGAUUUUUUAUUUGAUAAUAAAGACAUUUCAACUUGAAACUGUUA